CUCAUGUAUUACGACUAAUGAUAUGUAUCAAUGAUUCAUGUCAGCUGUCGAAAAGCUGAGUGGAGGUCAUAUUCCAAAACCUCUUAUUUUCUAGCUAUAUAUUAAAUAUAUGGUGAAAUAAGCUGUUCUUCAUCACUUCCUUUAGUGCAUGGCUUCAGAAGAUAAAAAAAGUCAGCUGGUGUUCGCAUUUGAACUUCAUUUGUAUGAUUACAAAAAUUAGGCAAUUUAUUUGUUAUUCAUUGGGUCUCAGAUUUAAAUCUGCUAUGAAAUUCAGAUACAUGAUUUAUUCAAUCAUGUUUGUUACUCUUCUAACAGGUUCAACUUGCCAAUCACUUGGCCCGUGACAUGUCGAAUGAGCGGUAUUUUGGGCUUCUUUACUUGUGAGUGCCAACAUCAGUAAGGAAACUAAAGUCAGCCAAAGGAUCAGCAAAGUUGGUUGCCUAACUGCCGAACAGCUGCCAGAGACAUAGAAGAGGUCAGUAGUAGGUCCUCUCAAACAUGUUUCUGUAGUAUGUCCUCCGAUUGUGAGCUUUGGUUCCAAUCACUUAGCCCUUGACAUAUAAAAUGAGCGAUAUUUUGAGGUUCUUUACUUGUGAGUGUAGCAUCAGAGCUAAAGAAUCAGCUAAACAGCUACCUGCGACAUUGGAGAGGCUAUACGGCAAGUUCAAAGGUGCAACAAAUCCGAGCUUUACGCCGAAUUGGAAUAUGCGCUUCUAUUUUCGGUCACAUUUCUUUCACCACUCUACUCUUGCAAUCUUGCUAUCUCUCUUACCCGGUGGUCCUGAAGUAUUCCUGUGGCAUUGUACAUAGUACCAACAUUGAGCUAGGUUGAGUAUUUGGUUUUGGUUUUCAGUUUGUGUACGUGCAAACUCAGCUGUGGAAUAAAAUUCAGCUUGUGUACUCAUAAUGCACUCUGCCCGUUCCUGCUUA